rnacentral:lncRNA from 1 species
CUCUUUCCUUACUUCCUUCCCUUCCCUCGGCUUCCCGCUCUUGCCUCACUCUCAGCGGCUGCCUUCGCCCCUGUCUGCAGACAGCGCCGCUGGAUGCUCCCAGCUGGACUUCAACCCCACUCCUCUCAGUCCCUCUCCCCACUGCCUUCCAGACGCGCCUCUUCCCCGCCCCGCGCCCCUCUCUCCUCUCCCACCCCUGCCCCUCUCCGCGGCGCUCACCCUCCUCAGUCCCAGUUUCUGAAAGGACUCAGCUGAGAAAGGACAACUGGGUUCCGCUUUCCUUAACCCUACACCCUUUAGCUGGAUGCUGUCAGAGGCGAUGGAGAAACGCAAAGGCUACUAGACGCAACAAUAGAAUUACCAUAUUGUUUUUCCUGGUUUGAAAGGACCAGAUGGAAAGAAACUGGGCAAGCCAAUGAAAGUCUCUGGGGAUCAUGGGAAUUGAGUGUCUAUGAAAACCAUAUUCCAGACAAGAAUAUAGUCUAAGGACACAGCAAGAGGCAACAUUUUGGAAGCAGAGGGCAACUCUCACUGGAAACCAAAUCUCCUGGCACCUUGAUCUUGGAUUUUACAGCCUCCAGAACUGAUAGCUGGGAGGCAUUACAUAGUCAUGUGCGAGGUCAAAACUGAGUCACCACCACAACCAAGUUCCAGCUGGCAAGAAGAGGAAAAAUAACACAGAGGAGUUAUGACCAGUGUUGUAAGGAUCUGGCCUAGAAAUGGCAUGCAUCUCUUCCACUAAUAUCCUAUUGGUAAAAAUGUAGUCACAUGGGCACACCACCUAUCUGCAUGGAAGGCUGGGAAAUGUUGAUCGGUAGGGCAGCCAUAUGUGUAGGAAGGAGAAAACAGAAUUUGGUGGAUACCUAGUAGUCUCUGCCAUACCCUUGACCAGAAAUUUUUCUUCUAAAGAAUUUAAUUCUAAAAGUUAUAGACAUUCCCAAAGAUAUACCUGCAAGCAUCACAGCUUUGUGUAUAAUUGCAAAAGUUGAAAUCAACAUGAAUGCCCAAAAUAGUGAAUUAUUUAAACAGAUUAUUACCCAUAUUAUGAAGAAAUACUCUGCAACUCUUAAAAAUAAAUGUAAUGUGCCAGGCGCAAUGGGAUAUGCCUGCAGGCCCAGCUACACGGGAGGCCAAGGCAGGAGGAUCACUUGAAAUCAAGAGUUCAAGUCUAGCCUAGACAACAUAGUGAGACUUGGUCUCUAAAAAAGAAAAAAAAAAAUAAAACUGAUGUAAUGAAUAUAUAAUUACAACAAAAGAGGUCUAACACUAUAGUAGAAAAGUUUGGGGCACUCAUCCCAUUCAUAAUUAUUUUACAUUUAAAUUACUGUUCCUACUUAAGUGGUGAGCUUGGUAACCAUUUUCAUAUCAGGUGAUACUGCUGCAGUAAUCAUAGCUGUUUGAAUCAGGAAUAAUCCCAAUCACAUUUUCUCUUAAUCGUUUAUUAUACUGGGCAUUGGGGUUGCAAGAUAAUGCACAGUCCGAGCUCAAUACAUGUCUUCAUGUACCUGUAUGUAAAUCCCACUUUUAUUCUAAAAUUCUUUGAAUAUUUUGUUUCUUGGAACCCAAUGAUCCUAAGAAAAUUAUGUACUUUUACCUGAAAAUUAAAACCAAUAUUUAUAAAAAGUGUAUAUGCAGUAUGAUACCACUUUUAAAAAAAGAUAAAUUUAUAGAAAAAAGUUUAUAUGACUGACAACAAUGUCUCUGAGUGGUAGGAUUACAGUUAAUUUUUAUUUUCUUCAUUCUACUUAUCUUUAUUUUCUGAACUUUCUACAAUGAACAUGUUUUAUUUUUACUUUUGUUAAAAUAAAUAACAUUUAAUUUGACGGAAAAUUCUAAAAAUCAACAUUUGGUAACUUAAAUAUUCAUUGGCACAUGAUUCUGUGCCUGUUUCUGGGGGUCAUUCCCAUGAGAAGAGCAGGUAGAACUUAUGAGAAUAGAGCAGUCGAAAUAUUAUAGGUUUCAUAUUUUACGGCUUUAUUGAAAACAUUGAUAUAUUGAAUAUUCAUAAAUUUUAAUUUAACUUUCUUUUAUAAUCCUUAAUGUGAGGCUAAGGUAUAAGGAGAAAGGAGAUUGGUAAGGAAGUGUGAUACAUAUUGAAUCAGGUGUCAAGGUACCAUUUGUGCCUGGAUCUGACCAAUAGACCAAGGUAAAAAUCUCAAAGAAUGAGACUUGUAAUGAGAAUGCCACAAACUUGAAUACCUUAUGCACAAAACACAAACAUUGUUAUGCAUAAUGUACAUGAACCCUGAAACAAAGAUAAUGAUUUGGACCACCCAACUGAAGUGGCAUGUUAUGUUUUUGGCAUGAACAAAAGAAACAAGAGAGAAAAAAAUCAAAAUAAUUAAAAUAAAUUGUUAGAGAAAAGUUACUUUAAAAAUAGCUAUAACGCUUUGCAAUUUCAGUAACAGUUCUGCCUCUGAUGCAAUGUAAAACAUGUAUUAGACAUUCAGGCUCCACAAUAAAUUUUAAUGAGCACUACAAAUUUAGAAUAUAUAAAAAUAUCAGUAACCUAUGAAUUCAUCAACAUAACUCACUUUUCAGUUAAGUUAGGCUGAGUUGAAAUUCUACUAAGUUUUCCCAUAUUCUUGAUAAAGGCUAAAUUUGAAAUAAUUUAUUUAGAUGACUAAUUGGCAAUUUGAUAGUAGUUACAUUUUAUGUAACACUUGAUAUAAUAACCCAAAUUAAUUAGCUCAAUAUUAUCUUCUGUGGUUUAUUGAUCCAAAAGUACAUAUUUGUUAUGUAAACUUAUACUAUGUAAACUUGAAUUAGUUUUUUGCUUCCUUGAAUUAAUAAAGCCCAUUAAUGCAAAUCUAAGCCUUCAUAGACUUUUCCAAUCCUUAGUUAAAUAUUAAAAACUGAGUAUUGUAGUUAUUUGCUAGGUAUAAAAGGUGACUCAGAGUAGAGAGUAAGAUGUCAGCAAAUAGACAAUAAGAUGUCAGCAAAAGUGCCUCAAAUUUUAACUGCGUCAAGUUAAGGGCAUUGUAAAUACUGUAGUUUUAUGUAGCUUGCAACUUCUACUGAAAUGAGUUUAAUCAUGUCUUUCACAUAGCUGAAGUUUGUGUCAAGAUUUAAGCUGAUUUUCUCAUUCUUAUCAAAGUCUCACCUGGGGGUAGGGAGGGGUAGGCCUACCUCCCACCUCUAUACUAUCAUUUUAGGAACAGACAGGCAUAAAUCUGUUCAUAUGGUAGAACACAUGAUGUUAGAGUAUAUUUUGUUGAAUGCUAUGGAAUAUUAAUAUAAUUAAUUCUAAAAUAUCACCUAAAAUAUGUCAACUGAAGAUCUGACUGUACUAAAUAUGAAAAAUAAAGCAGCAC